GGGAGAAGCAGGCUCCCCGCUGAGCAGAGAGCCCGCUGUGGGACUCGAUCCCAUGGACCCUGGGAUCAUGACCUGAGCCGAAGGCAGACGCUUAAUCGACUGAGCCAUCCAGGCGCCCGCCCAGAGCUUUAAGUAAGGUCCUGGCACGUGCCGCGUCCCGACUCUCGGAAUGCUCUGCUGUCCCCAUUCAGGGACACCAGCUCAGAGUCCUGGCUGGGGGUCACCCCCUUUGGCAUCUCUCCAGAGAACCCCCUUCCAGAGGGCCUUCAGAGACACGCCAGCUCGUCCUGCGUGACCCUCCCCCGGCCCUCAGGACCACCUCGCAGGGGUGAGAUGAGCACAGGUGUUAGCUGUCCUGGACCGUGAUCCUCACCCCGGGGCUGAGCAAACAGCUGUGACAAGCCUCAGAGAGCCCCGCGGCACGGACGCUUCGCGACCGUUUACAGAGAGCAGGCCGCUUCUUGCAUCGACGCUCGCCUUCACGGAGUUUGGAAGACAGAGGAGAGCCCAGGUGAAGAGCAGGAGAAGACGCAGGCUGGGCUCUGCCCCGGGUCCUGGCACCCGGCUCUGAACACCCUUGCAAGUUCACUAAGAGCGCUGGGAGCAUCUUUCAUUCUUGGAUUUCGUCGAUGAGCCCCGGGAUGCUAAAUCCCUUGGAAUUUCUUGGAUGAUAGAAGGGACUUUUGUCCUAAGGAGGUGACUCUGGCUGGGCUCUGGGGUGCGGACUGGCUACGAGAAAGACAGAGCCUUGAAGGCUUGGAUGUCAUGCGGCAGGGAGAGGAGAGAGGCUGGAAAUGGGUGAGUGGUCGAUGGUGACUGUGGGGGAAGCUUCCAUAAAAUCCCCAAAGCACAGUGUUUGGAGACCCUCCGGGGGGGUGAACACAUCAGGUGUCGGGAGGGCGAAGCACCCCGGCUGCACGAGGACAGACCCUCCUAGCCCUCACUCUCUGUAUCGUCGUGGCCUCUGGCAUAUCCUUCACUUUAUAAUAAACCAGACACGCAGAUGUUUC